rnacentral:rRNA from 1 species
UACAGAGGGUGCAAGCGUUAAUCGGAAUUACUGGGCGUAAAGCGUGCGUAGGUGGAUAAGUGUGUUGGCUGUGAAAGCCCCGAGCUCAACUUGGGAGAGUCAGCCAAAACUGCUUGUCUAGAGUAUGGUAGAGGAAAGUGGAAUUUCUGGUGUAGCGGUGAAAUGCGUAGAUAUCAGAAGGAACAUCAGUGGCGAAGGCGACUUUCUGGACCAAUACUGACACUGAGGCACGAAAGCGUGGGGAGCAAACAGG